rnacentral:lncRNA from 1 species
UAGAGGAAUGAUGAAGCCCUCAGCUUCAAUUUUUGCCCACCUUUCACUCCUCCAUUCUCCAGGAAUCGAUUUUAAGUCAGUUCAAGAUGCUGCAGAUAGAGCCAUACAAUGGCUCUACCAAUCCUCUAGAUCACCUUAUAGGCUACAAGGUUCUCGUGAUGCUCGAGGGCACCUUGAAUGUCCCUCUCUGCCUCAUCUUCCCUUCAACCUUAAAGAAGGUGGCACG